CACGCCAUGGGACCACCCGCACACAAUCACUACUCACACUCCCAUAAAUGUGCCCUCACCUAUGAUUCAAACUCUUACUCAUUUGUGAAGGGUUCUAAUGGGGAUUCGGCUACCAAUAGACCACGCAAAAUUUAUGACACUGUAAUAUGUAGCAGCAUAUUGCAAAGCAAAUUUGUAUACACCGAUCCGUGGCGAUUUUUCACUUUAUAACCAUACAUCAAGAUUUGAUCUCCUCCAUGCAUUCAUUACAACACCGCAUUAUUCGAUUUUUCAGCAUUUGGUAAUACAGAUGAUGCCAAGGACAAGCUUAAAAUGAUUCAGUGGUUGUUGAGGGCCCAAUAAAUUGAUGAUACAAGACCUGUUUGUUCCAGUUUCCAUUUUUCUUGCAGGUCCAGCUCAUGCCCAAGUCCUCUGGUCUCACACUCACUGUACAGCAAAAUCAAAGAUUUUGGUUAACCUACCAUGACAUCAUGCAUCAAAAUCCAGACAAACAGAGUGGUUAUAGUGUCCUUUCAAGAUCAUGUUCUUGCUCAGCUCAUCAUCAAUUUGGCAAUUGGAAUCCACAUGUUCGUAAUUCUUUGCUGGUAUAAAAUUUUUUUAAUGUUAUGAUGUUGUUACCUUUGUAUUAUAGAAUUAUUUUCUUUCUUUACUUUUGGUUUAGCUCUUUUCUUUUCUCUGGUUAUCAUCUUUCUUGUGAUUCUUUGUGACUCAAUGUCUCCAUUCAAGGCAGUAAAGCUUGUCCAUAUUAUUGAUUUUAUUUUAUUUAUUUUAUUCUGAUAGAUGGUAUCCAUUUUGUGUGAAUGAUUCAGAGUUAAAA